rnacentral:rRNA from 1 species
UUGAGUCAGAUGUGAAAGCCCAGGGCUCACCCUUGGAACUGCAUUUGAUACUGGCAAACUAGAGUAUGGUAGACGAAUGGGGAAUUUCUGGUGUAGCGGUGAAAUGCGUAGAGAUCAGAAGGAACACCAAUGGCGAAGGCAACAUUCUGGACCAAUACUGACACUGAGGGACGAAAGCGUGGGGAUCAAACAGGAUUAGAUACCCUGGUAGUCCACGCUGUAAACGAUGAGUACUAGCUGUUGGAUUCGGUGUAAAGGAUCUAGUGGCGUAGCUAACGCGUUAAGUACUCCGCCUGGGGACUACGGCCGCAAGGCUAAAACUCAAAGGAAUUGACGGGGACCCGCACAAGCGGUGGAGCAUGUGGUUUAAUUCGAUGCAACGCGAAGAACCUUACCUGGUCUUGACAUCCUGCGAACUUUCUAGAGAUAGAUUGGUGCCUUCGGGAACGCAGUGACAGGUGCUGCACGGCUGUCGUCAGCUCGUGUUGUGAAAUGUUGGGUUAAGUCCCGCAACGAGCGCAACCCCUAUUGAUAGUUACCAUCAUUAAGUUGGGUACUCUAUUGAGACUGCCGCUGACAAGGCGGAGGAAGGUGGGGACGACGUCAAGUCAUCAUGGCCCUUACGACCAGGGCUACACACGUGCUACAAUGGGUAUUACAGAGGGCAGCGAAGUAGCGAUAUGGAGCGAAACUCAGAAAGGUACUCUUAGUCCGGAUUGCAGUCUGCAACUCGACUGCAUGAAGUCGGAAUCGCUAGUAAUCGCAGGUCAGAAUACUGCGGUGAAUACGU